GGCCUCCUGCGCGAAGCGCGCCAGCGCGCGGGCCGCCGCCUCGGCCUCCUCUCGCUGCCGGGCCUCGUCGUCUAGGCGCUGGCGCACGUGCGCGAUGUCCUCGAGCAGGUGCUCCUGCUCCAGGCGUAGCUGACCGCGCGCCGCGCCCAGGCGCAGCACCGCGCCGCGCAUCUCGCGGACCUCGCGCUCGUACAGCUCGCCCAUAGCGGAGCGGCCCGCCUGCUGCUGCCGCAGCGCCGCAGCCUCGCCCUCCAGGCUGCGGUUGUGCGCCUCCAGCUGCCGCACCUUGUCGAUGUACCCGGCGAAGCGGUCGUUCAGCGCCUGCAGCUGCUCCUUCUCACUGCGUGAGGUGGCCACCGCCACCAUGCAGCCCUCCGGCCCGUUGCUCAGCGUGUCCAGCGAGUCGGUGCUUGAGGCGGCGCCUGCGCCACGGAAGCGGCUGGGCGAGGCGGACACGGAGCUCACGGACGUCCGUGUCCACGAGUGGAAGCCGCUGGAGGAGCCAGCGGCGGAGCGCGUCCCGCCUGCGCCACCCUUUCGGGCUAGCGCGUAGUGGAGGCUGCCGCCGCCAUGCAGCGGCGCGAACGGGGCGCCCAGCAGCGCGUCCGCGCCGCCGAAGCUCAUCAUGGCCUGAGCAGUGGGGGCUUAUUUGGCCUCCCCAGGAUGGACUGGAGCAUCAGUAGUGCCCGGGUUUAUCACAGGACAGAUACUCAAGACACUCUUAUCACCAUUAGGUGGACUUGGAGGAGCAAAAAACAAGUGCAGUGGCUCCUCAGCAGAGACACUCCUGAAUGUAUAGACAUGGGAACCACCUUCAGCAUCAAAAAAGGAAACGUUCUGCAUGCCCAUAUCCAGAAAAAUCCCCACUCGCUGUAACUUGCGGUCUACGAAGAGGAAAGUCAGCGGCACCGUGCUGGCAGAGAGGCGGCUUCCAUCCCUCAAACUCACAGUCCAGAAUCCACGCUCUGUGGUCAGAUGGAUCCUCCCUUUGCGGUGAACAGAUUCUCUGCAGACUCCCAGGUCCCAUUCUGUGCUUGUUCCCACGUCCACCUCCCAGUAGUGGCGGCCACAGGUAAAGCGAGGGGAGCCCAGGAUGCAAAUGGACACGUCAAAUCUCUCGGCAAGGUCUUGCCGAUUCUGUGUGAUGCACCCACUUCGGACGCUCCUGAGGUCGUCAGAAAUGAGGAGGAAGUUGUUGGCUGUGUCGGCAUCCAAGGUCAUAUCCACUGUGAAAAGGAAAAAAAGUUGAUCAGAAAAUGGACAGAAGCCAACCCCAUGCCUCUCCUCUACUUCAAAGGCCCAAAUAUCUCUUGACUUUGGUUUCUUUAAUUCUCUUCUUCCCCCAAAAUCAAAACUUUUCAUGAGGCAACUUCCCUGACUAGUUCAAAUUCUCAUAGGUAUGCUUUGUGGCAAUACCCAACUCUUAUUCACAGUAGCAAUUAUUUUACUUUAUGUCACGUGUUUGCUUCAUUGGACUUUUCUUCAUUUAGAGUGGAGGGUCUCUGAAGGCAGACACCAUGACCCCCUUUCUACCACCUUGAUGCAUGAAAAAAUGAAUGAUAAUUAAGACAAUGCAAAUGGUCGAUGUUAAAUAUGUUUCUGCUUCCAUCUUGUAUUGCUCAACUCAGUAUAUAGAGCAUGAUUCCAGGCCUUUGUUUUCCAUGUUUGUAAGCAAAUUAAUUGUGCAUGGUUCUGACAGCAGGUAGGGUAUCUCUGCAGCUGACAAUGUGAUGACAGAGGUGCCGGUCCUGGACAUUAGGAGGCUCCAAGGCCAGGAGGAAGAGGGGGGCCUUAGAUGAAAGAAUGUUUUCCAUCCUACAUGGGAGGUGAAACCUUAAGCAAAACAAUGGUAAAUUUUGGAGUGAAGAGAAAGGUAUUUGAAAGUUGUUUGUUGGCUGAGCGCGGUGGCUCACACC
rnacentral:lncRNA from 1 species